rnacentral:rRNA from 1 species
GACGAACGCUGGCGGCGUGCUUAAUACAUGCAAGUCGAGCGGUAAGGCGCGAGCUUGCCGGCGUUCACGAUUGGCGAACGGGGGAGAAACACGCGUGUGACCCGCCCUGCACAUCGGGAGAAGCCUGGGGAACUGCGGAUAAUACCGCGGAGGAUCUAGUGAUGGAUACGGUGGUAGAAAGAAUGUCGGGUGUGGGCUGGGCUCGCGGCCUAUCCGCGUGGUGGUGGGGUAAUGGCCUAGCAAGGCGGCGACGGGUCGCCGGCCUGGGAGGGUGGACGGCCACAUUGGGACUGAGACACGGCCCAGUCUCCUACGGGACGCAGCAGUCGGGAAUAUUGCACAAUGGGCGCAAGCCUGAUGCAGCGACGCCGCGUUCGUGAUGCCGUCCUUCUGGUUGUAAACUCCUUUCUCCAUCGACGAAGGGUUUCCGACGGUAGCUGGUGAAGAAGCCCCGGCUAACUACGUG